UAUCUUAAAUGUGUUGGUUUAUGUAUUGUGAAGGUGUGCAACACUGUGAAGUGUCCUACAUACUUGAAACACUACAAUGGCAAGAUCUAAGGCUAUAGCUUCUCCUCCAUCCCUUCUUCUUCUUCUUCUUCUCCUCUUCCUGUGCGGCUCCCAUGCAGCGCAGCAGCCGAUCCGAGCCGUGGUGGUUCUCAUCAUGGAGAACCGCUCCUUCGACCACAUGCUGGGGUGGAUGAAGUCGGCCCUCGGCUUGCCCAUCGACGGCCUCAGCGGCACCGAGUGCAACCGGCGGUCGGUCGCAGACCCCACCUCCCCCUCCAUCUGCGUCUCCGACGACGCCCGGUACGUCGACCCCGAUCCCGGUCACUCCUUCGUCGCCGUGCGGGAGCAGGUCUUCGGGUCGAGCAACAGCAGCGAAAGCACCGCCGUGCCUUCCAUGUCCGGCUUCGUCCAACAGGCCCUCUCCGUGUCCGAGGACCUCGCGGGCACCGUCAUGAAGGGGUUCAAGCCGGAGAACGUGCCGGUGUAUGCCGCCCUGGCCCAGGAGUUCGCGGUGUUCGACAGGUGGUUCUCGUCGUUACCGGGGCCGACGCAGCCCAACCGACUGUUCGUCUACUCCGCCACCUCCCACGGCGCGACGUGCCACGACAAGGUGCAGCUGGCCAAGGGGUACCCCCAGAAGACCAUCUUCGACUCCCUCCACGACGACGGGCUGGAUUUUGGCAUCUACUACGAGAGCGCGCCGGCGACGCUGUUCUACCGCAACCUGAGGAAGCUGAAGUACGUAUUCAAGUUCCACAAGUUCGGGACGUUCAAGGAUCACGCCCGAGACGGCAAGCUGCGGAGCCUGAGCGUGCUCGAGCCGCGCUACUUCGACCUGCUCGGCAAGGCCGCCAACGACGACCACCCCUCGCACGACGUCGCCAACGGGCAGAAGAUGGUGAAGGAGGUGUACGAGGCGCUGCGGGCCAGCCCGCAGUGGAACGAGAGCCUGUUCAUCAUCACCUACGACGAGCACGGCGGCUUCUACGAUCACAUCGCCACGCCCACCGUCGACGUUCCCAGCCCCGACGGCAUCGCCGGCCCUGCCCCCUACUUCUUCGGCUUCGAUCGGCUCGGCGUUCGUGUCCCCACCAUCCUCAUCUCCCCCUGGAUCAAGAAAGGCACAGUCGUGAGCAGGCCGCAGGGACCGGCACCGACGUCCGAGUUCGAGCACUCUUCGAUCCCUGCAACCAUAAAGAAGCUAUUCAACCUCACCUCAGAUUUCCUUACCCAGAGAGAUGCUUGGGCUGGCACAUUCCAGAACAUCUUCAGCGAACUCACCUCACCAAGGACCGAUUGCCCUGAGGUGUUGCCGGAUGUGCCGCCUCUGAGGGCGACGAAGGCGAAGGAGCACAGAGUUGUGUCGGAGUUCCAGAGCGAGAUCGUCGAGAUGGCGGCUAUUCUCAACGGAGAUCAUCGCCUGACCAAACACGGGGACAAGACCAUCAAGCGAAUGACGGUGAGGGAGGCUGAUGCUUAUGUGAGCCACGCAGUUGCCAGGUUCUUUCGAGCGAGCAAAGAUGCCUUCGAGAAGGGAGCAGACGAAUCAAAGACAGUAGACAUGGCAGCAGCCAAGCAUGGUUGAUGGAAGGUGAGCUUGGAGAUAAAAUUCAGAAGCUCCCUUGUCAUUUGCUUCACUGCUUCCUACUUACUGCGACCGAGAGGGAGUAGCAGAAGAGUGCGUUUAACGCCAGUUUUGUUUUUAGCAGUCCUUGGGCGACAUGGGUGAGGUAUCAAGAUCACUCUUUUUACGGAUUUCUUAUUGGUUUUGGAUUGUUUUUUGCUGAUGAUUGCAGAAAGAUCUAAUCUUGAGCAAGAGGAGAAGCAGCUAGAGGAGGACGGGAAGAAAGAGUGGCGACCGGAGUAGGAGGAGGAGAAGGGAAAGAACGAUGGAAUUGGUGACGGGGGAAAAAGGAUGAAGAGAAGGUGGCAGAGAAGCCACCGCCUACCCCGCCGGAAAAAUGUCGACAUGCAUUGUGAGGGAUGUGCGAGGAAGGUGCGGCGGUGCCUCAAUGGCUUACAAGGCAUAGAGAGAUCCGUAAAAAAAUCGAUGUUUGAUGUGUAUUUGGUCAGGUUUUUUAAAAUUGAUCCUAGAAUUGGAUCUUUUUGUGUUUGUUUGGAUCGGAAGGUGCUGAAGAGGUGGUGGCGGACAGCCGCACGCACCGUGUGGCGGUGAAGGGGAGGAAGGCCGCGGAGGAUCCGAUGAAGUGGUGGAGAGAGUCCAGAAGAAGAACGGAAGGAAAGUGGAACUGCUCAGCCCCCUGCCGCCACCGCCGCAGCCGGAGAAGAAGGAACAGGAGAAGCGAAGUGAGGAGAAGCACAAAGCAGAGGAGGAGAAGGAGGCAGCCGCAAGUGAUCCUUGUUGUGCUCAGAGUCUACCUGCACUGCGACGCCUUCACCCAAAGAUCGAGAAAAGGAUUCUGAGGAUGAAAGCAUGAAAGGUGGGAUCUUUUUGGUGGAAACGGGGGUGCAGACGGCGGAGCCGGCCCUGAAGAGCUCGGAGGUGACGGUGAAGGGCGUGUUCGACUCGGCGAGCCUGGUGGCGUACGUCCACAAGCGGACGGGAAAGCAAGCGGCGGUGGUGAAGCAGGAGACAGAGGAGAAGACCAAGGCGGCGGAGAAAGAGAAGAAGGCGGAGGGCGAGAAGGAUGUACAGACGGAGAAUGGUUUGCCGUUCGAUCAGUGAGCCCUUCCAAAUCAUUGACUAAUGCUUGGUGGGGGUUCAACAGGCUGCUCAGCUUGGACGUGGUCCUCAGGAUCAGAACACAAAUGAUUUCUUGCAGAUAAGCAUGGAUGAGGGUAUCUCCAUUUGUGUUUGCAGUUGGUGUGAGCUCACAGAAGAAACUUCCCACAGCCAGCACUUGAAGAUAAGGCCCAUCCAUGUCUCCACUUUGGAGAGCAAAUGUGACAACAACAACUGUUGCACUAACAAACACCUCUCCCUCUUUUCUUUAUCAUCAUCAUCAAUCACAUACCAAAACUCUC